rnacentral:snoRNA from 1 species
CACAUUGUGUCAUGAUGAUAUAAUAACAUAUGUUCUUGCAGGUCUUAACCAUGAAUAUGAUAGUUUUGUGGCAUCAAUCUCAGCUCGAAUCGACAGCAUCACACUUGAAGAAAUUUACUCUCUUCUGCUGACAUUUGAGG